rnacentral:rRNA from 1 species
UACGUAGGGUGCGAGCGUUGUCCGGAAUUAUUGGGCGUAAAGGGCUCGUAGGCGGUUUGUCGCGUCGGGAGUGAAAACACCGGGCUUAACUCGGUGCUUGCUUUCGAUACGGGCAGACUAGAGGCAUGCAGGGGAGAACGGAAUUCCUGGUGUAGCGGUGAAAUGCGCAGAUAUCAGGAGGAACACCGGUGGCGAAGGCGGUUCUCUGGGCAUGUCCUGACGCUCAGGCACGAAAGCGUGGGGAGCAAACAGG